GAUGAACGCUAGCUACAGGCUUAACACAUGCAAGUCGAGGGGCAUCAGGAAGAAAGCUUGCUUUCUUUGCUGGCGACCGGCGCACGGGUGAGUAACACGUAUCCAACCUGCCCUUUACUCGGGGAUAGCCUUUCGAAAGAAAGAUUAAUACCCGAUAGUAUAAUGAUUCCGCAUGGUUUCAUUAUUAAAGGAUUCCGGUAAAGGAUGGGGAUGCGUUCCAUUAGGUUGUUGGUGAGGUAACGGCUCACCAAGCCUUCGAUGGAUAGGGGUUCUGAGAGGAAGGUCCCCCACAUUGGAACUGAGACACGGUCCAAACUCCUACGGGAGGCAGCAGUGAGGAAUAUUGGUCAAUGGGCGCUAGCCUGAACCAGCCAAGUAGCGUGAAGGAUGAAGGCUCUAUGGGUCGUAAACUUCUUUUAUAUAAGAAUAAAGUGCAGUAUGUAUACUGUUUUGUAUGUAUUAUAUGAAUAAGGAUCGGCUAACUCCGUGCCAGCAGCCGCGGUAAUACGGAGGAUCCGAGCGUUAUCCGGAUUUAUUGGGUUUAAAGGGAGCGUAGGUGGACUGGUAAGUCAGUUGUGAAAGUUUGCGGCUCAACCGUAAAAUUGCAGUUGAUACUGUCAGUCUUGAGUACAGUAGAGGUGGGCGGAAUUCGUGGUGUAGCGGCGAAAUGCUUAGAUAUCACGAAGAACUCCGAUUGCGAAGGCAGCUCACUGGACUGCAACUGACACUGAUGCUCGAAAGUGUGGGUAUCAAACAGG
rnacentral:rRNA from 1 species